CAGCCGCCGCGGGAAUACGUAGGGUGCAAGCGUUAAUCGGAAUUACUGGGCGUAAAGCGUGCGCAGGCGGUUUUGUAAGACAGAGGUGAAAUCCCCGGGCUCAACCUGGGAACUGCCUUUGUGACUGCAAGGCUAGAGUACGGCAGAGGGGGAUGGAAUUCCGCGUGUAGCAGUGAAAUGCGUAGAUAUGCGGAGGAACACCGAUGGCGAAGGCAAUCCCCUGGGCCUGUACUGACGCUCAUGCACGAAAGCGUGGGGGGCAAACAGGAUUAGAUACCCCGGUAGUCCCUGUCUCUUAUAC
rnacentral:rRNA from 1 species